GCCGCGUCCCGGCCGGAGCGGGUGGGAAGGGCGUCCGAGCUGCGUGACGUGACGUGUGUUAAACGUUCUGUGCCGGCCGUGGUGUGCUGCAUGGUCGCGGCAAUGAUUGUCUCGCAGCAUUCGGCACUGGAGAGGCCACACCCUUGCUCCCCUCCAGCGGCGAGAAUGUUCUGCUUUCCUCCGUGUUGUUUGAAGAUUAACUGUGCGAAUUGUGCAGAGACAGCACAGCAGAUGAGGGAAAAAUUACAAGAAAAAAUCUGAGUGAAAUACUCUGUGGUCUGCAAGAGUCAGAAGGUUGAAGCAAGACAGGAAGGAGGUUGGAUCACCAGAGGAUAUGCCACUAAACUGGCCAAGGAUCUGCUGUGCUUUCAGUGCAUCAACUUUUGAAGUCUUGAGAGCAUUUAAGGAGAAGGUAGAGUAUAAAUCACUGUCAUUAAAAAGAGAAAAAGAGACAGAGGUGGUCAGCAAAGAGGGUGUCUUAGAUUGGAAACGGGUGUGUGUAUUCUAUUCCUGUCUGUAGGGUUAUCUUCUGUUAAUUGGGCAGUUUUCUUUAUCUCUUCUACAACCAAUCCUCUUUCUGGGAAAUAUUUUCUGUUAAUGUGUCAUUGAGUGUCACUGCAGGACUGAUAGAAUU
rnacentral:lncRNA from 1 species